GAGUACAGGUGCCAGCCGCCGCGGUAAUACGGAGGGUGCAAGCGUUAAUCGGAAUUACUGGGCGUAAAGCGCACGCAGGCGGUCUGUCAAGUCGGAUGUGAAAUCCCCGGGCUCAACCUGGGAACUGCAUUCGAAACUGGCAGGCUUGAGUCUCGUAGAGGGGGGUAGAAUUCCAGGUGUAGCGGUGAAAUGCGUAGAGAUCUGGAGGAAUACCGGUGGCGAAGGCGGCCCCCUGGACGAAGACUGACGCUCAGGUGCGCAAGCGUGGGGAG
rnacentral:rRNA from 1 species